CUUUGAAGAAGGUCGGUAGGACAAUGUCCUGGUUGAGGUGGAAGUUGGACACUAUUUUAGGAUGCCAUCAGACUUAACAGUCUCUGAAUGAGUCGAGCAGGCUGAUACAGUGCUCCAUGUCCAGCAAUACCCAAGUCCUUGAUGCAUUUGAAACAUUCUUGAAUUAGUGGAGCGGAGACAUGUGUGUCGGCAUAGAGAGAUUGCUGCCAUCAAUGAACGAGACUCUGACUCGGUCAAAUGUUUGGCCGUACUCAACUGUUGCCUGGGGAGACGUGUGUAGAUGGGGCCACAUCAACAAGAGGAUCCACCCCGACAUCCGGGUCAGAUUCAAAAUCCGAAGAUCCACGGUGUUCCGAAGUAGAUGGAGAAAUUGGUGUACAAGUCUGCGUUUCAAUAGGCUGUGGAAUCAGUGUUUGAGCUCUGAAGUGUACAUUAUCACAUAUGGUUUAUGUGGCUGAAUCUUUGAAGACCCCAUCAAAAAAUUUUUUUGUCAUCUUUGAAGAAGUCACAGGUGCUUCGAUAGAUCUGUCCAAAUAGAAGCCUGUAAGUGACCCCAAGACUGAUUCUCCUGGAAAUUAUAAGGCAACCCCAGGGAUACUGUCCCCAACGCUGCCAAAGUUAGGGCAUCCCCUGCCACAGAUGAGUGUGCAAAGCCGCAGUUAUGCCAUGGUGAAGUUGCUAGGUGAGCAGCUGUAAGCGUGACCGAUUGUUUAAUGAUUGAUUCCCUUGACAUCCCCACUUCUGAAGUUUGUGGGAAGCCCUUGAAAGUAGAUGUUGAGGGGGUUGCUCGAAGUAGAGUCUAAAAUACACAGCAAAGUGUGAGCCAUUGUUGUAUCUAAGGCCACCUCCCUAUCCUCCUCAAUGUUGAAGGUUGGUAUGUCAGCUGGACACCGAGGAGUCACCAGUCUCUACGCCAACAACACAGGCAUAUUUAGAGUUGAAACAGGAGGUCAAGUUAUUGGUGUCUAAGGAGUGUGUGUCGACACGGACGGCACUUCUUGAUGUUGACUUGAAGGAGCUUGUGUGUGUCAGUAGCAAGGGUAUAUCUCUAUGUCGAGCUUUCAGCAUCGAUGCCGGUGUAGAAUCUAUCAGCAUUGGUGCUGGCGAGAGACCAACGCACAUUCAACAUCAACAGACUCUAUAGUCACGGGAUCUGGUUCCUUCAAUGUCAAAGCCUUCAAUGUCAAAGGAUGUUUGACGCUUUCAAGCGUCUGCAGAUUUGAAGGAGAUGGCGUUCUUUCUUUUGUGAUGUCUACCCUCCUGGACUUAUUCAGUUUAUGGGAGCGCUCCUCCGAGUCUGA